GUGCAGUGCGAUGCUUUAACAUGCAGUCGAACGGCAGCACGGGAGCUUGCUCCUGGUGGCGAGUGGCGAACGGGUGAGUAACACAUCGGAACAUGCCUAGUCGUGGGGGAUACCGUAGCGAAAGUUACGUUAAUACCGCAUACGUCCUGAGGGAGAAAGCAGGGGAUUCGCAAGAACCUUGCGCGAUUAGAGUGGCCGAUGCCUGAUUAGCUUGUUGGUGGGGUAAAGGCCUACCAAGGCGACGAUCAGUAGCGGGUCUGAGAGGAUGAUCCGCCACACUGGAACUGAGACACGGCCCAGACUCCUACGGGAGGCAGCAGUGGGGAAUUUUGGACAAUGGGCGCAAGCCUGAUCCAGCAAUGCCGCGUGAGUGAAGAAGGCCUUCGGGUUGUAAAGCUCUUUCAGUUGAGAAGAAAAGGCCGUGACUAAUAAUUAUGGUUCAUGACGGUAUCAACAGAAGAAGCACCGGCUAACUACGUGCCAGCAGCCGCGGUAAUACGUAGGGUGCGAGCGUUAAUCGGAAUUACUGGGCGUAAAGGGUGCGCAGGCGGUUUUAUAAGUCAGAUGUGAAAUCCCCGGGCUUAACCUGGGAAUUGCGUUUGAAACUGUAGAGCUAGAGUGUAGCAGAGGGGGGUGGAAUUCCAUGUGUAGCAGUGAAAUGCGUAGAGAUAUGGAAGAACAUCGAUGGCGAAGGCAGCCCCCUGGGUUAACACUGACGCUCAUGCACGAAAGCGUGGGGAGCAAACAGGAUUAGAUACCCUGGUAGUCCACGCCCUAAACUAUGUCAACUAGUUGUCGGGUCUUACUAGGCUUGGUAACGUAGCUAACGCGUGAAGUUGACCGCCUGGGGAGUACGUCGCAAGAUUAAAACUCAAAGGAAUUGACGG
rnacentral:rRNA from 1 species